GCCAGCACUGAAGAGAAGACAGCUGCGUCUGUUAGGAGACAGAGUCACGGAGACCAGGGUGAACAGAGAGGCACCAGGACACUGCCUAUGCAGGAGGAAGGGAAGGGCAAGGAGUGCAUGGUGACCAUGAGAUCAGAAGAGGGUGUCAGACUGCCUGGAACUGAAGUUACAGAUGCUUGUGAGCUAUCACGUAAGCACUGGGACUUGACCCUGGAGCCCCUGCAGGAGCAGCAGGUGCUCCUGACCCAUAAGCCAACUAGUCAGACCCAGAAAAUGUCAUCUUAAGUUAGUGGUAGAUCUAACUGAAACCAUCUGCAGAAAAAAAAUGGUAAUUCUAACUUGAGAAAUAACUAUUCUUUAUUCCAAAA